rnacentral:rRNA from 1 species
AGUUUGUAAAGCAAUAUACAGUGAAACUGCGAAUGGCUCAUUAAAUCAGUUAUCGUUUAUUUGAUAGUACCUUACUACUUGGAUAACCGUGGUAAUUCUAGAGCUAAUACAUGCUAAAAACCCCGACUUCGGAAGGGGUGUAUUUAUUAGAUAAAAAACCAAUGCCUUCGGGCUCCUUGGUGAUUCAUGAUAACUUAACGAAUCGCAUGGCCUUGUGCCGGCGAUGGUUCAUUCAAAUUUCUGCCCUAUCAACUUUCGAUGGUAGGAUAGUGGCCUACCAUGGUUUCAACGGGUAACGGGGAAUUAGGGUUCUAUUCCGGAGAGGGAGCCUGAGAAACGGCUACCACAUCCAAGGAAGGCAGCAGGCGCGCAAAUUACCCAAUCCCGACACGGGGAGGUAGUGACAAUAAAUACUGAUACAGGGCUCUUUUGGGUCUUGUAAUUGGAAUGAGUACAAUUUAAAUCCCUUAACGAGGAACAAUUGGAGGGCAAGUCUGGUGCCAGCAGCCGCGGUAAUUCCAGCUCCAAUAGCGUAUAUUAAAGUUGUUGCAGUUAAAAAGCUCGUAGUUGAACCUUGGGUCUGGCUGGUCGGUCCUCCUCACCGAGUGUACUGAUCCGGCCGGACCUUUCCUUCUGGCUAGCCGCAUGCCCUUCACUGGGUGUGUCGGGGAACCAGGACUUUUACUUUGAAAAAAUUAGAGUGUUCAAAGCAGGCAUUUGCUCGAAUACAUUAGCAUGGAAUAAUAGAAUAGGACGUGCGGGUCUAUUUGUUGGUUCCUGGACCGCGUAAUGAU